rnacentral:rRNA from 1 species
UACAGAGGGUGCAAGCGUUGUUCGGAAUUAUUGGGCGUAAAGCGCGUGUAGGCGGUGAUGCAUGUCGGGUGUGAAAGCCCCCAGCUUAACUGGGGAAAUGCGCCCGAAACUGCAUCGCUAGAGUGUCGGAGAGGGUGGCGGAAUUCCCGGUGUAGAGGUGAAAUUCGUAGAUAUCGGGAGGAACACCAGUGGCGAAGGCGGCCACCCUGGAACGGAACACUAGACGCUGGAGCGCG